UACGUAGGGUGCAAGCGUUGUCCGGAAUUAUUGGGCGUAAAGAGCUCGUAGGCGGUUUGUCGCGUCGAAUGUGAAAACCCGGGGCUCAACCCCGGGCCUGCAUUCGAUACGGGCAGACUAGAGUUCGGUAGGGGAGUCUGGAAUUCCUGGUGUAGCGGUGAAAUGCGCAGAUAUCAGGAGGAACACCGGUGGCGAAGGCGGGACUCUGGGUCGAUACUGACACUGAGAGACGAAAGCUAGGGGAGCGAAUGGG
rnacentral:rRNA from 1 species